UCGACCCUUCUUUGUAUCUGACUGUCUCAGCUCACUAACAUACUUUUUUCCUAAAUGUAAUGGUAUCUGCAACUCCCUCAUUCCAGUAAGCCAAGUGAGCUUAAAGUCACCAUUAUAAAGGCCCCGUUGCCAUGAUCAUAGAAAACACCGGUUAUUUGUAGUUCAACCAAAAUAGUUGUUCAGAGAAGCGAUGGUGAUCGCCUGAAUGUUAGAGUAUUGAUCUUCGCACCACAAGAAUUUUGUGCUACUAUUGUAAACUGAAAAACGGCACAACACAGGCUACAUAUGAUCGAUGAAGGAAGUUUGGAAUUAUAAUUGGAAGUACUGUUUGCAGAAAUCGAGUUUGUGCGUGUCUGAGAGAGAUAUGGUGCUUAGUUUCAAAAAGCAGGUCGUGGGUUCAACCGAUAAAGGUAAAAAAAUGUUCAAUAUGAGUUCCAAUGUUUUAAUCUCAACUCCGCAUUUGUUUAUGAAUAUACCAAUUAUGAAAAUAAUUUAAAAAUCAUAGGUUAAACUCUGGAAGUUGUAUUCCAACAUGGCGAACUUCCGUGUAGGUCCAAACCUUUCCUUCGAAAGUGUUCUUUCUUUGAAACUGCCUAGUACCAAGUGCUUACGUUUAUAUUGAAGCAAGAAAAAAUGUUAUGUUAA